GACGAACGCUGGCGGCGUGCUUAACACAUGCAAGUCGAACGGAAAGGCCCUUCGGGGUACUCGAGUGGCGAACGGGUGAGUAACACGUGGGUGAUCUGCCCUGCACUUUGGGAUAAGCCUGGGAAACUGGGUCUAAUACCGAAUAGGACCACGCGCUUCAUGGUGUGUGGUGGAAAGCUUUUGCGGUGUGGGAUGGGCCCGCGGCCUAUCAGCUUGUUGGUGGGGUAAUGGCCUACCAAGGCGACGACGGGUAGCCGGCCUGAGAGGGUGACCGGCCACACUGGGACUGAGAUACGGCCCGGACUCCUACGGGAGGCAGAAGUGGGGAAUAUUGCACAAUGGGCGCAAGCCUGAUGCAGCGACGCCGCGUGAGGGAUGACGGCCUUCGGGUUGUAAACCUCUUUCAAUAGGGACGAAGCGCAAGUGACGGUACCUAUAGAAGAAGCACCGGCCAACUACGUG
rnacentral:rRNA from 1 species